rnacentral:lncRNA from 1 species
ACAAAGGAUUCGUUAUGUUGUCUGGAACAUCAAUGGCUGCUCCUGUAAUUUCAGGAGUUGUUGCACUUCUCAAAGCUAGACACCGUGAUUGGUCUCCUGCCGCCAUUAGAUCAGCCAUUGUUACUACAGGUUCUUCUAAACUCAUUAAAUGUAAAUAGGACUCAAGAAGAACGUACUAAUCUUGAUAAGAGUCUUUACUCUGCAGCUUGGAGAACAGAUCCAUUUGGAGAGCAGAUUUUUGCGGAAGGGUCACCUCGUAAGCUAGCUGAUCCGUUUGACUAUGGUGGAGGUCUUGUUAAUCCAGAGAAAGCUGCAAAACCAGGUCUUGUCUAUGACUUGGGACUCAAAGACUAUGUUCUUUACAUGUGUUCUGCUGGUUACAACGAGUCAUCGAUCUCUCAGCUUGUCGGAAAAGUAACAGUUUGUUCCAAUCCCAAACAAUCUGUUCUUGAUUUCAACUUGCCUUCCAUCACAAUCCCAAAC